UACGGAGGGUGCGAGCGUUGUCCGGAAUCACUGGGCGUAAAGCGUGCGCAGGCGGUUUGCUAAGACAGGUGUGAAAUCCCCGGGCUUAACCUGGGAACUGCGCUUGUUACUGGCAGGCUGGAGUGUGGCAGAGGGGGGUAGAAUUCCACGUGUAGCAGUGAAAUGCGUAGAGAUGUGGAGGAAUACCGAUGGCGAAGGCAGCCCCCUGGGUUAACACUGACGCUCAUGCACGAAAGCGUGGGGAGCAAACAGG
rnacentral:rRNA from 1 species